UCACGGCCAAACCCUAGAAAUCAACCUUGCACUCAAUCGAUUGAGCAAAACACCAUCCUUUCGCCGCCAUUCAAGUAUAUUGUAAGUAUGCUGGCAAUGUUGUUUAAAAAUUGUAGCCCGUUGCUGUCAGCACCAUUUUGCUAGUAGUAUUAAAAUGUUGGGUUUGUUGCUGCUGUGUCUCAUGGGGUUCGAGUGGCUGCUUCUACGUCGCGUGGGAGUGGUUGCUGCUACGUCGCGUGGGAGUGGCUGCUGCUACGUCGCGCUGCUGAUGCUGUUGGGUCGCUACUGCAUCGCGUGCUGCUGGGUUGUUGAUGGGUGAUGGCUGUAAUUGUUGUUUGGGUGGUGAGGCAGUGAAGGUGUGG
rnacentral:lncRNA from 1 species